rnacentral:rRNA from 1 species
UUGGCGGACGGGUGGAGUAACGACGUGGAAAACCUAGCCGUAUACUGGGGGAGUAACAACUUAGAAAUAAGUGCUAAUACCGCAUAAGCGCACAGCUUCGCAUGAAGCGGUGUGAAAAACUCUGGUGGUAUACGAUGGUUCCGCGUCUGAUUAGCUAGUUGGUGGGGUAAUGGCCUACCAAGGCAACGAUCAGUAGCCGGCCUGAGAGGGUGAACGGCCACAUUGGGACUGAGACACGGCCCAAACUCCUACGGAAGGCAGCAG